UCAGUCAUUGAUGAACCGUCGGCGUGAAUGUUGCAGGUCUCGCGUACAUAUGUUGCCUUAACAAAAAAACAAAGUGAUUGACAUAAAAGCAAAAGUACAAAUGUAUGCGUAAAAUGCAUUUAGUUUUGUGUUUGUUGUUUUUUCGUUGUUUUUUUCUUUGGCGUUUAUUACUGUGAGGUGCCAGCGCUAAGGGAAAGCAGCUGCUUCUGUUACAAUAGUUUGUAUCUCGGCAUUAUAUCUCAGCUGCUGCAGCUACAUUGAAGAAUAGCAACAACAACAACAACAACAACAACAAACACCACAAAAACUGCAACUGGUUGCGUGGAGUUGAAGGUGGUGGCCGCUGUUGCAUUCACUGGUGCCUUCUGUGCAGCAGACGAGACAGUUCACUCGCAGUCGUCGCGCUUGCCACAACGAUUUGCACGGAAUUAGUUUUCUUCAGUAAAAAAAUGCAGUUAUAGAGUGAGUGUGAAUUUAACAAAAGAAUCGCAGCAACAACAAACAAGAUAAUAACACUAACAACAACAACAAUAUUAGCAAGCAACAAGCGCACGGCAGCAACAAAACAACAAUGUAUUGCCAACAGGCGACUAAUUAACAUGCAACGAGUGUGAGCAAAAAGGCAAAGAAAAAAAUAAAAGUGUUAAAGAGCAAGAAAGAGCUGAAGCAACAAAAAAAAAAAAAAAAUGAAUUGCAAGUAAAGUGUGCAUUGCAGAUCGUUAACAGCCGCUGGCGGAAAACUUGCCUAUGAGUGCCGCAAAAAAGAAUAAUUUACAGCCAAGUGUAGGGAAG